rnacentral:rRNA from 1 species
AACGAACGCUGGCGGCAUGCCUAACACAUGCAAGUCGAACGAGACCUUCGGGUCUAGUGGCGCACGGGUGCGUAACGCGUGGGAAUCUGCCCUUGGGUUCGGGAUAACAGUUGGAAACGACUGCUAAUACCGAAUGAUGACUUCGGUCCAAAGAUUUAUCGCCCAGGGAUGAGCCCGCGUCGGAUUAGCUUGUUGGUGAGGUAAGAGCUCACCAAGGCGACGAUCCGUAGCUGGUCUGAGAGGAUGAUCAGCCACACUGGGACUGAGACACGGCCCAGACUCCUACGGGAGGCAGCAGUGGGGAAUAUUGGACAAUGGGCGAAAGCCUGAUCCAGCAAUGCCGCGUGAGUGAUGAAGGCCUUAGGGUUGUAAAGCUCUUUUACCCGGGAUGAUAAUGACAGUACCGGGAGAAUAAGCCCCGGCUAACUCCGUGC